rnacentral:rRNA from 1 species
UACGGAGGGUGCGAGCGUUAAUCGGAAUUACUGGGCGUAAAGCGCACGUAGGCGGAUCUUUAAGUCAGGGGUGAAAUCCCGAGGCUCAACCUCGGAACUGCCCUUGAUACUGGGGAUCUCGAGUCCGGAAGAGGUUGGUGGAACUCCGAGUGUAGAGGUGAAAUUCGUAGAUAUUCGGAAGAACACCAGUGGCGAAGGCGGCCAACUGGUCCGGCACUGACGCUGAGGUGCGAAAGCGUGGGGAGCAAACAGG